rnacentral:lncRNA from 1 species
CUUACUUAUUUCACUUUGGAGAAAUGACCAAGGAAUAAAAUAACUCUGAAAACAUUUUUAUAAGCAGUGAAUUAUAAAUUCCAUUCCCUAUAUAUAUGCUAAUUAGAAUUCCAUUACAAUCAAAUGAGUGUCUUCAGUCAGCCUGAAUUAGUGUCAUUGUUCUGAUUUGAAACAACAACAACAAAAAAUCAAGAAACAUCAGAUUUUAUCACUUCGUCCCCUCAGAAAGGUGAUUGAGCCACUGAGGUGCAUCCCAGUCUUUUUUACUUUAUUGGAGGCAGUCUAAGUUGCCCAGGCUGGCCGUACCCUUCUCAAGCUGGAGGUCACAGGCAUCUGCUGCCAUGCCUGGCUGAAAUAUAUAUUUUUUUCUUUUACACCAAAACUUCCUGUCAGUGUGUCUGAACAGCUUAUGGGUGUCAGGAGAGAUGCAAGUCUGUGUGGCUUCAUGGCCAACCCAUAAGACGUGCAAACAGCACUUCACGGAAAAUUAACUUUUUGCCAAACGUGGCAUUUGGGUGUUUGUUUUGGUUUUUGCAGUGACUUUAAAUGUGUGCAGAAAACAUUAAUAGGUGUCAGUCCAUGUGGUGCCAACAGUCACCUUUCUGAACCACUUCAGGGUGGUAAAUGAGAGCACUGGAGUAGGAGUCUUGAUUUGUCCCAGGCCCUGGUGCUAGUCUCUCCACUCACUCUAUGGCCCUGAGUAAGUCCCCAGUUCUUUGAACUUGACUUUGUCAUCUCUUGAGUGGGGCAGCUGGACUAGCCCAGUGGUUCUCAACCAAGGGUCAUUUUACCACCUACCCACCCUUGUCCCCAAGAGGAUAUUGGGUAAUGUCUGGAGACAUUUGCUUGUCGCACCACUGGGCAGGGAGGGGCAUAGUGAGUGAGGGCAGGUACUAAGGGCAUCUUUUUACUGUGGACCAGAAAUGCCACAAACAUCCUAAAAGUACACUGGACAACCUACACACAGCACAAGAUCAUCUUACUGAGAAUGUCAGUGGUGUGCACUACAGGAGCCUGCACUGUCCAGACUUUGACACCAACAGCUGAGCAGCUCCACCCGACACACUCUCCUCAGUGGUUGUGUGCUAAACAGUGACUCAUUAAACACGAAACUCGCCUGUGACCCCGUCAGACCUGCAGACUGAUGAACUCGCCUGAGUCAGGGUGGAGGUCCUUCCUGUGGACUUGAAAAGCAAAAUAUAAUUGUUACCUAAAAAUACAUCUUGUCACCUUUAUUUCAAGUUAAUAUCCUUUAUUAGCCACUUGACAUAACAUAUCUAAUAUGGUAAUAUUAGAUAUGUUAUAUUUUUUAAAACACUAUUGGGACUCAAUAUUUAAAGUUUAAAAAAUACAUUGCCAGCCCUUUUUAUUUUUAUACUAUGAGAUAGGGUCUCUAUAAGUUGCUGAGGGUGACUCUGAACUUGUGAUUGUCCUGCCUUCUGAGUCACCAGGAUUACAGGCUUGUGCCACAAGCCCAGCUUAUAUUUUUAUUUUACAUAGUUAUAAAAGCUUAUUAUUUCACAUAGUUAUAAAUAGUUGCCAGCUAUGAUCAUAGAUAAACAAGAAGAGGAAAACAAGAUACUUAAUAAUAUCUUUUUUUUAAAAGAACUUGUUAGAAGAGUCCUCCAAAUGUUAUCAAAGAAUUAUCCUGUUCCCAGUUAUUAAAAUAUCUUUCUCACUUUCAGAAUCCUAAUAGUACCAUUAAAACUGACUUGACGCCCAUAGUCACAGCUACCCAGAAAGUUGAGGCAGGCAGAUCACUUGGUCCCAAGAGUUCAAAGCCAGCCUGGGCGACAUAGAUCCUAUCUCAAGGGGGUGGGAGAUCACAUCACCAUGGACAAUUCUUUAUGAAUUCUGAAUCCUGACGUUCUAAUCAAGCACAGUGGCACAUACCUGUAAUCCCAACAGUAGGAGGAUCUUGAGUUUGAGGCUAGCCUCAGCAACUUAGCAAGAUCCUGUGACAAAAUAAAUGGGGAAAGAAAAAAAAGGACUAAAGCUGCAGCUCAGUUCUAAAGCACCCCAGGGCUCAAGCCCGGAACCAAAAGGAGGAAAGAGAAGUAUAUAAACCUACGUCGUUACGUUUUUUGUCUUGUUACUUUAAAACCAAGUGCAACUAUAUAAUUUAAAACAACUCAAAACUAAUUAAGAGAACUCAUCAAGUUCUUCCUAAAUUGGUUCUGAUUUACAAUUAUUAUCUUGAGCACAUAUUUUUAAGCAAACCCUUUAAAAUCUAUACACUGGUACUGAAAUUAAGCUUAGUUUGAAUAUAUACAGUAUAAUGUAAAUACUUCAGGAGAUUUAGUUUACAAGGUCAUAUUUUUUUUGCAAAAAUUAGCAUAAUACAGGCAUAUCUGAAGCAAAAUUUAAAUAUUCUCCCCUAUCCUAUUCCCAUUAAAUUUAGUGUGUACCUUUUUAGAUUUUUUUUUUUCUUUAUCAGUACAGGGGACUGAACCUAGAGGUGUUCUAACAGUGAGCUACGUCCCCAGUGCUUAUUACUUUGAGACAGGGUCUUGGAGCUCGGCCUCGGCUUCCUGAGUGCUGGGAUUAUAGGGGCGCACCCUUACACAGCCUUCAGGUUUUCUCUGCACAGUUUUAGCUAGCACAUAGAUUGGAUUGUCAAAUCAGGCUCACGUGAGUCAGUAAUAAAAGCCAGGAUUAAGGUUUAGUGAUUAUUUAAAGAAUACAGGCAAUUGGGAGAUUCCAGUGAAUCAGAAGAGCAUGUGGUACGUGAAAGCUCUCUCUCCAGGCUGUGUCCCCUAGUUGGUCCUGUGUCCCUGACCCAGGAUAAUAGAUAAGGGUUUUAAGUGAGUUUCACUUCACGCGGUGGAUUGUGAAUCAGCUUCUUGUAGUAUGGCUUACAUGAUGUUAUUCACAAAACAGUGCCUCAUCAAUUUUGGAUUUAUUUACUGCCAGUGACUCUUUGCCAGGGACAUCUUACUAAUGGGACUCAGAGAGGGGGUUUCUUCCUCCUAGCAACUACCAUUAAGCUCUUUUUCCCCCAUUAUUUUUUUAUUGGUGCUUUAUAGUUUCACAUAAUGGAGGGAUUUGUUGUUAAAUAUUCUUAGUUGCUGUGAUCAGGCUCUUAAUUCCAGGGCCCAGGAGACCUGGAGGCUAGGAAUUCCCGUGUCUAG